GACGAACGCUGGCGGCGUGCUUAACACAUGCAAGUCGAACGGUAAGGCCCUUCGGGGUACACGAGUGGCGAACGGGUGAGUAACACGUGGGUGAUCUACCCUGCGCUUCGGGAUAAGCCUGGGAAACUGGGUCUAAUACCGGAUAGGACCACUGCCUGCAUGGGUGGUGGGGGAAAGCUUUUGCGGUGUGGGAUGGGCCCGCGGCCUAUCAGCUUGUUGGUGGGGGGGUGGCCUACCAAGGCGACGACGGGUAGCCGGCCUGAGAGGGUGACCGGCCACACUGGGACUUAGAUACGGCCCAGACUCCUACGGGAGGCAGCAGUGGGGAAUAUUGCACAAUGGGCGCAAGCCUGAUGCAGCGACGCCGCGUGAGGGAUGACGGCCUUCGGGUUGUAAACCUCUUUCAGCACCGACGAAGCGCAAGUGACGGUAGGUGCAGAAGAAGGACCGGCCAACUACGUGCCAGCAGCCGCCGUAA
rnacentral:rRNA from 1 species